rnacentral:sRNA from 1 species
UUGGAAUCUGGAGUGAAUGAGGUCAUCUGGAUUUCAUUGUCUUCUUACGAAGCCAGCAGUAAGCUUGGGCAGUCCACUCACCCACCCCUAGGGCCAUAUCUGGGGAUGAAGCCACCCCUGACCUAUACAUAGGAAAUGAUUGAUGUGCCUGGUCUUAUACCCAGUCUGUGUCUGGUUUCUCUACCCUCAGUGCCCUUUGGCUUAGGCUCAGGAUGGGUGGGCCUCCCUUCCCCAGCAGCUGCCUCAGCCCUGAUCAAGGGCAGUUAUUUGGCUCAAGGUGAGUAGUGGUUUUUAAACCCUACUCCCACACACUGCUGAGUCUGUGUUUUCCUUUCUUCCUGACCAGGUAAACUGUCUUGAGCCCCACCCUCACCUGCCUGUGCUGGCAACCAGUGGCCUAGACCAUGAUGUGAAGAUCUGGGCACCCACAGCUGAAGCUUCCACUGAGCUGACAGGGUUAAAAGAUGUGAUUAAGAAGAACAAGCGGGAGCGGGAUGAAGAUAGCUUGCACCAAACUGACCUGUUUGAUAGUCACAUGCUGUGGUUCCUUAUGCAUCACCUGAGACAGAGACGCCAUCACCGGCGCUGGCGAGAACCUGGGGUUGGGGCGACAGACGCGGACUCUGAUGAGUCUCCCAGCUCCUCAGACACAUCGGACGAGGAGGAGGGCCCUGACCGGGUGCAGUGCAUGCCAUCUUGAGGCCUCAUACCUAGGUGGGGCAGGCUGGGGCUGCCAACCUGAUCCUGCCUGGGCAACCCUUUCCUGUCCCAGGCCCUACAUUCAGCAGAAACGCACUUUGGACUUUUUGCUUUAGAUAAAAGAAAGACAUCCCAGGAGAAGGACAAACCAGAGGAGUGAACCAACAAAGAGUACCUAGGAAUGGGAGUUGAGCCCUGGAAUGGGGCUCCAUGGAGAGGUGCAUAGGACUCAGCAGAAAUGGCCUC